rnacentral:lncRNA from 1 species
CGACAGUCUUUUGAGAAACGUCCACCAGUCGACAUUGCAAGAAGACUACCAUGAAUUGCUGCAGUUGCCUGACUUCAGCAUUCCAGAGCUGUUGUAGAAGGCUCAGCAUGGGUUGCUGUGGUGCUCAUGAGUACCAGCCAAGAACUGUAUUUCUUGGAAGGCCACCAUCAGAAAAAGUUCCCACCUAACAAAAUAUGCAACCAAAAGUACAACAUCUUCACAUUUUUUCCUUUGGUCUUAUUUAAUCAAUUCAAGUUCUUUUUGAAUCUUUAUUUCUUGGUUGUGUGUUUGUCCCAAUUCAUACCCGACAUAAGAAUUGGAUAUCUCUACACUACUGGGGCCCCCUUGUGAGUUUGUG